GAUGAACGCUGACAGAAUGCUUAACACAUGCAAGUCAACUUGAAUUUGGGUUUUUAACUUAGGUUUGGGUGGCGGACGGGUGAGUAACGCGUAAAGAACUUGCCUCACAGCUAGGGACAACGUUUGGAAACGAAUGCUAAUACCUAAUAUUAUGAUAAUAGGGCAUCCUAUAAUUAUGAAAGCUAUAAGCGCUGUGAGAGAGCUUUGCGUCCCAUUAGCUAGUUGGAGAGGUAACGGCUCACCAAGGCGAUGAUGGGUAGCCGGUCUGAGAGGGUGAUCGGCCACAAGGGGACUGAGACACGGCCCUUACUCCUACGGGAGGCAGCAGUGGGGAAUAUUGGACAAUGGACCGGGAGUCUGAUCCAGCAAUUCUGUGUGCACGAUGAAGUUUUUCGGAAUGUAAAGUGCUUUCAGUUGGGAAGAAACAAAUGACGGUACCAACAGAAGAAGUGACGGCUAAAUACGUG
rnacentral:rRNA from 1 species